CUGCUGCUAUUCUGGUCUACAAGAGACCAGAGCAGCGUCAGGUGCCUGCUACAUCUGUAGGUCCCUUUUGUAAGCCCCUGAGAGAUAACUGCCAUUUGAAUGAAUAACACAGCAAGAACAUGUGAUUGUGUAUCUUUUAUCUCUGGUGCUUUCUCACCCAGAUGCCCAGAAAGAAAAAAGCAGCCAAGUGUGCUAAAAGAAACAACAGAAAAACAGAGCAAGAAGAUAAGUCUUCCAAAAGUGGGAUGGACCACCUCCAGACAUAGGAAGCUUCCUGUCAUUGGACAUACUAGAACAUGGUACAUACCUUACAGAAGUCAAAGGGAGGAGGAUGGUGAGGACUUGCAAAGCUGCUGGCAAUACGUGGAACUGGAGCAACUGAAUCAUAAGAAGUUGGUUCUCAGGCACCUGUUAGGCAUGUAACGUGCUUGGACCAUGAUGCCCUGCUGAAGGGAGAGACAAAGUUCAGCAAAGCCCCAGUCUCUGCCAAUAUGGUGCUCCCAAUCCGAUGAAGAAACUGAGGCUUAAGAAACUUGCCCAGGUCACA